rnacentral:rRNA from 1 species
UGGGAAUUUUGGACAAUGGGCGCAAGCCUGAUCCAGCCAUGCCGCGUGCGGGAAGAAGGCCUUCGGUUGUAACCGCUUUUGUCAGGGAAGAAAUCUUCUGAGUUAAUACCUCGGGAGGAUGACGGUACCUGAAGAAUAAGCACCGGCUAACUACGUGCCAGCAGCCGCGGUAAAUACGUAGGGUGCAAGCGUUAAUCGGAAUACUGGGCGUAAAGCGUGCGCAAGGCGGUUUUGUAAGACAGAGGUGAAAUCCCCGGGCUCAACCUGGGAACUGCCUUUGUGACUGCAAGGCUUGAGUGCGGCAGAGGGGGAUGGAAUUCCGCGUGUAGCAGUGAAAUGCGUAGAUAUGCGGAGGAACACCGAUGGCGAAGGCAAUCCCCUGGGCCUGCACUGACGCUCAUGCACGAAAGCGUGGGGAGC